UUUAUUUUUUUCCACAGGACGAUUCUUAAUACUUUACCAGAUGGAAACACCACCACCACCAUCUUUGCCAUUUCAGCUCUUAUGCAUUAGGCAGCCACGAUAUCUUCAGGGCCUUCUUUCUCAUUCACGCCAUCUCAAGCAAGGCAAGGUACUUCUACGGAAGGGUGCGACCUCACGGAUGGAGCAAUGGUCACUCAGUCUGAGGUAUUUUGUUAUGGUAGCCUGAACAGACCAAGACACCAAUAAGACGGUAUUUGGAGGUGG
rnacentral:lncRNA from 1 species